UACGGAGGGUGCAAGCGUUAUUCGGAAUUACUGGGCGUAAAGGGCGUGCAGGCGGGUUGGUAAGUCUGAUGUGAAAGCCCGGGGCUCAACCCCGGAAGGGCACUGGAAACUGCCAGUCUUGAGUGCCGGAGAGGAAGGGGGAAUUCCCGGUGUAGAGGUGAAGUUCGUAGAGAUCGGGAGGAAUAUCAGUGGCGAAGGCGCCCUUCUGGACGGUUACUGACGCUGAGACGCGAAAGCGUGGGGAGCGAAC
rnacentral:rRNA from 1 species